GCCUGGGUGGCUCAGUCAGUUAAGCAUCUGACUUUGGCUCAGGUCAUGAUCUCGAUUUGUGGGUUUGAGCCCCGCAUCUGGCU
rnacentral:tRNA from 1 species